UAGUAUACAGUGUGUCACUGUCAUAGUGAGAGCUGUUAUGGAAAACAAUACAUGAAGAAACGACAUCGGUGCUGCAGAUAGACCAUAUCGCUGCCAUAACAUGGGUUCAGACUGGAAAAUUAUGCCGUUUGCCUUUCAAGUUAUAUAGCUUUGGGUUUGCAGACUAAAAGUUUUAGUGAAAUGCUGACAGCAUACAGGUCUAUCCCUGCCUAAGCUAUAGCAUGAGAAUGGACUUGAUGGCAUGAAAUGAAAAGAUACCAGUUAGAAGAUUCCUGAAUUUCAUAUCA